CUCUCUCUCUCUCUCUCUCUCUCUCUCUCUCUCUCUCUCUCUCUCUCUCUCUCUCUCUCUCUCUCUCUCUCUCUCUCUCUCUCUCUCUCUCUCUCUCUCUCUCUCUCUCUCUCUCUCUCUCUCUGUUUCUCUCUCUCUCUCUCUGACAAGCCCGCCCACUUCCGGUGGUUCUUCAACGAGAGUGGGAAACUGGAUUUCUUGUCCUGCUGAUGAUUGAUUUUCGACUAAAGCUGGGUUCAGUCUGAAGGAAGAAGAGUACGUGUUACCAAAAGUGAUUCAACAAUGGUUGAGUAAAGGCCAUCGUCACCACAGCUGAUCUGAGCUAACUUUACUCUGCUGUUUGACAUGUCCUGCAAAGAGAGGGCAACACGGCCUGCAGUAAAGAGUCUCCAUGACAGGAUCACUGGACUUCCCUAUCUGGAAACCCCACAUUGCGUGCAUGCAGCUCCACUACAUCUACUGCUCAUAACGUGGCGCGGUGGUGAUGUGAUCAGCAGCAGUGCAACUGCCAGGAUUCCCAUGAGUCCUUUGGAGAGCAUGUGACAGCUGAGAUAAAGCAGCUAAACAAACAGAGACAGUAAAGGAAGCAGUUUCUGCAUCACUGGGUCUCUGGCUUGCUCUACAGCUCUCUCUCUCUCUCUCUCUCUCUUUGUCUGACUCUCUCACCGUCUUGUGUGUCUUGAUCGUCUCACUGAUAGGAAGUGAACACUAACUGGUUUGAGGAGAGGAUGAGGGGGUGUGAAGAUGUAUAGUUAUUACCGUCAGCAGCUGCUGACUCAUCGGUCUGAGAAAGCAACAGUCACCCUUCAGAUCUGGCUGGCAGCCUAUCAAUCAAUCUGUAGGACUGAUGAAGCUUCAACAUGGUGCUGUGUGGGGAUUGACUUGGGUGGUUGUGUAUGUGUGUGGCCUUUAUAGAUGUUGCCAGCCUACUGUAUAUCCUGUUUAUGUGGAUCCACCAAUAUUUUACGGUGUCCUUCUGUUAAAGUGGCGCCAUGAUAAUAAACCGUUGACGUCAUUUCCAUUUAAAGUGCUACAACAGUUCUGAUUUGUACUGUUCAGCUAUUGUUAAACCAUUUAAGUAAUUGUAAAUAAUUCACAUUCAAGUCAAUAAAUACACCGACAGAU